GACGAACGCUGGCGGCGUGCCUAAUACAUGCAAGUCGAACGCUGAAGAGAGGAGCUUACUCUUCUUGGAUGAGUUGCGAACGGGUGAGUAACGCGUAGGUAACCUGCCUUGUAGCGGGGGAUAACUAUUGGAAACGAUAGCUAUUACCGCAUAACAAUGGAGGACACUUGUCAUUUAUUUGAAAGGGGCAAUUGCUCCACUACAAGAUGGACCUGCGUUGUAUUAGCUAGUAGGUGAGGUAAUGGCUCACCUAGGCGACGAUACAUAGCCAACCUGAGAGGGUGAUCGGCCACACUGGGACUGAGACACGGCCCAGACUCCUACGGGAGGCAGCAGUAGGGAAUCUUCGGCAAUGGGGGCAACCCUGACCGAGCAACGCCGCGUGAGUGAAGAAGGUUUUCGGAUCGUAAAGUUCUGUUGUAAGUCAAGAACGGGUGUGAGAGUGGAAAGUUCACACUGUGACGGUAGCUUACCAGAAAGGGACGGCUAACUACGUG
rnacentral:rRNA from 1 species